AAGAGACAGCAGUCGCCGCGGUAAAACGUAGGUGGCAAGCGUUGUCCGGAAUUAUUGGGCGUAAAGGGCUCGCAGGCGGUUUCUUAAGUCUGAUGUGAAAGCCCCCGGCUCAACCGGGGAGGGUCAUUGGAAACUGGGAAACUUGAGUGCGGAAGAGGAGAGUGGAAUUCCACGUGUAGCGGUGAAAUGCGUAGAGAUGUGGAGGAACACCAGUGGCGAAGGCGACUCUCUGGUCUGUAACUGACGCUGAGGAGCGAAAGCGUGGGGAGCGAACAGGAUUAGAUACCCCGGUAGUCCCUGUCUCUUAUAC
rnacentral:rRNA from 1 species